UACGUAGGGUGCAAGCGUUAAUCGGAAUACUGGGCGUAAGCGUGCGCAGGCGGUUCUAUAAGACAGAUGUGAAAUCCCCGGGCUCAACCCUGGGAACUGCAUUUGUGACUGUAGAGCUGGAGUGCGGCAGAGGGGGGAUGGAAUUCCGCGUGUAGCAGUGAAAUGGCGUAGAUAUGCGGAGGAACACCGAUGGCGAAGGCAAUCCCCUGGGCCUGCACUGACGCUCAUGCACGAAAGCGUGGGGAGCGAAACAGGAAUUGAGAAACCCUAC
rnacentral:rRNA from 1 species